rnacentral:rRNA from 1 species
UUACGGCCUGGGCUACACACGUGCUACAAUGGUCGGUACAAAGGGUUGCCAAGCCGCGAGGUGGAGCUAAUCCCAUAAACCGAUCGUAGUCCGGAUCGCAGUCUGCAACUCGACUGCGUGAAGUCGGAAUCGCUAGUAAUCGUGAAUCAGGAUGUCACGGUGAAUACGUUCCCGGGCCCUU